CAAACCUAAAUUCAAUCUGUGUUUGUGAACCCCAGAACCAGCUGGCUGAGAGGACUCAUUCCUAGGUUAAUCUCUGAAGGUGAGUGCUUUGUGGUGGCAUGUGUGGGCAUCGCUUCCUUUUAAGUGUGUGUGUGUGUGUGUGUGUGUGUGUGUGUGUGUGUGUGUGUGUGUGUGUGUGUGUGUGUGUGUGUGUGACAGGUCUGCCUCCAGAAGAGUCCUUUUUAGGGAUGGAUGAUAAGAGAAUACCCUCACCCUAUCAGAGUGUUCAGGCUGUUAUCUCUGGAUAUUAAUACACACUGUAGGGUCCCACACCUCCUCCAUUCUCUCCUUCUCCUUCUCUCUCUCUCCCUCUCUCUCUCUCUUUCUCCUAUUGUCACGUUUCUGUUGAUCAGUGGAAAAUACUUCUAACUGAAGUCAGUUCUUCUCUCCAUCUGUCAGACCAGAGCAACCAUGUCAGACAAUGAAGAGGUUGAAGAGUUUGAGGAGCAGAAUGAGGAGGAGGUUGAAGAGGAAGAAGG